CACAGAAGUGGACUCUGCAGCCCAGUCUCUUCGUUUGCAUCUUGGUUUGGGCCCAUGUGCACUCAUCCCUCUGGCUGUUUCCAUGGCUGAGCAGGAUCCAUCCUUUCCCGUGGCUGAGCAAGAGCUGAGCUUUCGCUCGCCGUCCACCACUGCUGAAUGUCACCGUCGCAGACCUGCCACUGACUUCCACCCCUCCGGAUCCGACAGGGUGUCCGCUGCGCUCCUGAUCCAGCGAGGCGCCCAUUGCUGCCCCCGAUUGGGCUAGAGGUUCGCCAUUUUCCCACACGGCUAAGUGCCCGGGUUCAUCCUAAUCGAGCUGAACACUAGUUGCUGGGUUCCACGGUUCUCUUCUGUGACCCACGGCUUCUAAGAGAGCUAUAAUACUCACCGCAUGGCCCAAGCUUCCAUUCCUUGGAAUCCGUGAGGCCAAGAACCCGAGGUCAGAGAACAAGAGGCUUGCCGCCAUCUUGGAAACGGCCGCCACCAUCUUUGGGAGGUCUAAGAACAAGGACCCUCCACCCCGUAACAUUUUGGCAACCAUGAAGGGAACUCCAAAGCAAAUCGAAGCUGUAAAACUACACAUCGUUCUUCAGAUGGAGCCCCAGGUGCAGUCCAUGACUGAGAUCUACCACGGACCCAGGGACCAGCCUGCUAGCCUAUGCUCUGAUGUUGAUGAUAUCAAAGGCACCGCUCCCGAGGAAAUCUCAACUGCGCAACCCCUACUGUACCCCAAUUCAGCAGGAAGCAGUUAGAGUGGUCACCGGCCAACCUCCCCAACAGCACUUGGGUUUUCCUGUUGAGAGCGGGGACUGAGUGACAGGACUAGCUGGAUUUCCUAGGCCGAC